GGGCUCGAGCCUGACGCCGACCCUCGGCCCUUCAGUCUCCAGGCGUCAAACACCCUCUCCCCACCCAACACCCAGCCCGGAGAAACGGUCUUCAGCCCAACCCCGACCCCUGCCCCAGUCGCUUUCCCCUGGGCUCUGACCUCCCGCCCACCAAAAAAAAAAGGUGCGGCCGGCACCCCCGCCACACCCUGCCCGGGCCCAGGGAAGUUCGAAUCAAAGUUGCUCGAGGGCGGCUGGAGAGCGCCGGGCGAGUCUCCGCGGGCCUGGGGCGAGCCCUGGAGGAAGGGACCGCCGGUGGUCUCCCAGCCCGCGCCGAAGUCCGCCGGGGCCCCGCGGCCUCACCUGGGCUCCCCAAGGCUGCGCGCUCCUCUCCCGCCGCGGCUCCGGGGCUCUCUAGCUGCGCCCCCCCGGCUCCCGCCCCGCCUGCCGCGCGGCCCCGCCCCGGGCUCCAGCCACGGUCCCCUCCCCCGCCCAGUGGCCGCCGGCCUCCCUCAUGUGACGCGGGAACAGCUGCGGCCUGAGUCACUGGGCCCGGCGCGGGGUGGGCCGAGCCCCCGGCCCGGCCAGGGCCACGUGGCCCCUACCCGGAAGAAGGCCCCCACCCCCGCAAACGAAGAGCCGAAAAGGCAAGACCUCGGGGCGCCUGGGGCCCCCCUCUGGCGCCCCGCCUCCGUGCCAACUCGGGGUAGGAGAGCAGGGCGGAGCGCAGCCUGGGUCACUCUGGUUCAGAGAAGCGGACGAGCUAGGGUUCCUAGUCUGAGAAAAGGGGAGGAAGCCCUUCCCCGAAGCCACGCUACCCAGUCAAUCAAUACACGUCCGCGUCGGGUCCCGCCCUCUGGGGGAGGAUUGACAAGGUCUGCCCUCCCAACUCCCGGACAGCUCCUGCAUCGUCUGUGAUAGCGAGGGUUUGGGGGAAGACACGAAGGUAGAGGCUUACAUCCUCUAGAUUUCCUCGUCUUAUCCCAGAAGACAAAGCCAGGUGAGGGCUGGAAGCGGGCUAGGGGGUCAAGCUGCCUCCCUCCCUUGUGUGCCAGGGGUGGUCUCCAGAAGGAGCUGAUCUGAACAGGCCAGAGAGUGAGACCGGUCGUCACACCCCCACACCUCCAGCCUCGGACCCACUCCUUGGGCUUUUAGGGUCCUGCCUCAAGAACCACUUCCUGAGUCUUGGUGUAUGUGUGUACACAAAGAAGGAAAGAAGUCUCUAGAGCAAAAGGAAGGAGAUCCGGGCUGGGCUGAGAAGCAUCUUCCAGGAUCACGGCCUUCCCGUGGGACACACCAAGCCCAUUCCGGACCUUGCUCUUCCUGACCAUGGCGGGCAGGCUGUGGAGGAGGAGUGGAGAGCUGAAGAAAGGAGUAUUCGUCAGGUUCCUUAUUGUGCUGCCACUAGAUGCCAGGCAUAUGCUAGGCUCGGGGGCUGCAAGGAGAGGAAGACAGCGGCCCUGCCCUCUGCCAGCAGGCAGAACCAAAUUCUGGCCACACUGAAGAAAGGCAGAAGCCUGCGGUGGCAGCUGGUUAAGUUCAGAGGGAGGGAAAGGGAGAGAAGAAUAGAUUUCACAGAGCAGGUGGAUGUGCUCAAGGUGACCUUGGAGAAUAAAGGGGAGAGCUCCAGGAACA
rnacentral:lncRNA from 1 species